GGUUCCUUGGUCAAGUGGUUAAGACGACGCCCUCUCACGGCGUAAUCGGCAGUUCGAUCCUGCCAGGAACUA
rnacentral:tRNA from 2 species